UACGUAGGGUGCAAGCGUUAAUCGGAAUUACUGGGCGUAAAGCGUGCGCAGGCGGUUAUGCAAGACAGAUGGGAAAUCCCCGGGCUCAACCUGGGAACUGCAUUUGUGACUGCAUGGCUAGAGUACGGUAGAGGGGGAUGGAAUUCCGCGUGUAGCAGUGAAAUGCGUAGAUAUGCGGAGGAACACCGAUGGCGAAGGCAAUCCCCUGGACCUGUACUGACGCUCAUGCACGAAAGCGUGGGGAGCAAACAGG
rnacentral:rRNA from 1 species